UUAUAUUUGAGAGUUUGAUCCUGGCUCAGGAUGAACGCUGGCGGCGUGCCUAACACAUGCAAGUCGAGCGGAGAAAUAUUAGCUUGCUAAUAUUUCUCAGCGGCGGACGGGUGAGUAACGCGUGGGUAACCUGCCCUGUACACUUGGAUAACACACCGAAAGGUGUGCUAAUACAAGAUGAUAUCAAAGGAAGGCAUCUUCUUUUGAUCAAAGCUUUUGCGGUACAGGAUGGGCCCGCGUCCCAUUAGCUAGUUGGUGGGGUAACGGCCUACCAAGGCGACGAUGGGUAGCCGACCUG
rnacentral:rRNA from 1 species